CACAGCUUCUCCAACAGCACAACUUGAAGAACAAACACAAUGAAGAUUCUCUUCCUGACUCUUGUACUUGGUGUGCUUUGAACCGCCCAAGAAACUUCAGAUGUGGAGGUUGUAUCUAAGAAUUCAGUAUGGAAACCCAUUUAUGUCACAGCCAGUGACACAGAGAACACCAGUGAGAAGUGCCCAUGCAAAACUUUCAUCUGUGAGGUUGAAAUAGACGAUGAAGCAGGCACAAUCACCUUCACGAUUUUUGAGAGGUUCAAUGGAAAAAGCACACAAACAAUUAUCAAGGAAACAAAGCAAGAAGACGGUGUUUAUCCUGCCGGAGAUGACUGUAUAAAAGAAUUGCAAACUAUUCAACUAUCUGACGAUGUCCUGAUAGUAAUUAUUGUCAAGGUGGAUGCAGCAGGCAACGAGAGCAAAGUGCUCGAAGUGCUUGCCAAAGUAUGUGAUACAACAGACGAAGUCUUACAGAAGAUCAAGGAGCUGCUGAAGGAGAAGGGGAUAUCAGAAAACAAUCUUCAGAAAGUCCUCUGCCUUGAUGUCUGUUUAAUAAAAGAAGAUGCUGCCAAAACCAACUAACAUGUCACACAGAACCUGGCACGGCAUCUUCUCCAUGGAAUCAGGAUCAACAAUAUGGAGACAACAUUCCUGGUUCCCGCAUAACAUCAUUUCUCUCUCUCCCCAAAGUCACACUUCCUUUCCCAUUUCUUCUCUCCUGC